ACAUCCCGCGCAGGGAGAAUCCGGUGGCCCAAAAGGCUUUCCGGUGCCGAAGGAGCAACCGCCCCGGUAAACUCUCAGGCAAGCGGACCGCGCGGGUAAA
rnacentral:ncRNA from 2 species